UAUAUAUAUAUAUAUAUAAUUCUAUAUUGAAAAAAAUAUGAAAUUAACAUGAUAUAUACAUUACUACAUAAGUUAUAUAUAAAAUAUGUAUAUUAUACUCUUGCCUACUGACUGAUAUGAAUUUCUUUCGGUCUCGAAUGCGUUAAAAGGGAGCGCAAAGAAGUCGAAAUUACUUAUUGUAAUUAGUAAAACGACCUGAGAGGCAGACAGAUACAAGAAAGAAGGAAUAUUAUAUUAGCGGCAUUUUUGUAGCCAUUAUAUAGGGUUUCGAUCGCAUAAUUAAUCAGUAUCAACUUACCAGUCUUUAACGGAAGGACAAAAAGAAGAGCAGACGGCACACAGACCGCAAUCAUGAUCAUUUUCAAGUAGAAUCUCAAACUGCCGUACAUCUUCGAAAACUUCGUUAGUCGUAAGGGAUCAAAGGAUGAUGUCCGUGCUGCGGAAAAUAGAUGAGAAGCGGCUAUUUCAACAACCACCGUGUGUAUUCUGUGCGGCUAAAGCAAUCACCUAAUGAAUUAUUGAGUACCAGGAAUGUUAGCGGUAAACAGGAUUGCGGCUAUGAAUGAUUCUCUAAUGUCUAUAUUAGAGAUGAAUUUGAUAAUUUAUCCUCAUAAUAUGCAAUCCGCUUUUAAGUGGAAAUCAUAAUUAACAAUUUCUGUUUGAUUAAAUAUGAAGAGCAGAUAAAUCGAUACGCUUAAAUCAA